rnacentral:misc_RNA from 1 species
CUGAGUCUUUGCGCUCAAACAACCCUUCUGUGGACCUGAAUAAAACCGUUGCCUCGGCGGGCGGCCCCACUUGUGGGCCGGACAGCCCGGCCGCCUGUAGGGAGAAAACCUCCUGAGGCGCCGGCGCCAGCCGCUGGCCCCAAACCAAAACUCUAGUAACUUUUACCUUCUGAGUUUUAAUACAAAAAAUAAAGUCA